rnacentral:rRNA from 1 species
GAUGAACGCUGGCGGCGUGCCUAAUACAUGCAGGUCGAGCGAACAGACGAGGAGCUUGCUCCUCUGACGUUAGCGGCGGACGGGUGAGUAACACGUGGAUAACCUACCUAUAAGACUGGGAUAACUUCGGGAAACCGGAGCUAAUACCGGAUAAUAUAUUGAACCGCAUGGUUCAAUAGUGAAAGACGGUUUUGCUGUCACUUAUAGAUGGAUCCGCGCCGCAUUAGCUAGUUGGUAAGGUAACGGCUUACCAAGGCGACGAUGCGUAGCCGACCUGAGAGGGUGAUCGGCCACACUGGAACUGAGACACGGUCUAGACUCCUACGGGAGGCAGCAGUAGGGAAUCUUCCGCAAUGGGCGAAAGCCUGACGGAGCAACGCCGCGUGAGUGAUGAAGGUCUUCGGAUCGUAAAACUCUGUUAUUAGGGAAGAACAAAUGUGUAAGUAACUAUGCACGUCUUGACGGUACCUAAUCAGAAAGCCACGGCUAACUACGUG